GCCYGGUCUUUAUGGCGCUGGCUACRCACGUGUUAGAAUGGAGGGCACAAACCGUUGCCAACCCGGYGGGGGGAACUAAUCAAAAAAAACUCUGCUCCGUUCSGAUUGCUGUCUGCAACUCGCCUGCAUGAAGCCUGAAUCGCUAUUAAUGGUCUAUCAGAUCGACKCCAUGAAUACCUUCCCGGGGCUUGUACACACCGCC
rnacentral:rRNA from 1 species